UUGGAGGGCAAGUCUGGUGCCAGCAGCCGCGGUAAUUCCAGCUCCAAUAGCGUGUAUUAAAGUUGUUGCAGUUAAAAAGCUCGUAGUUGAAUUUCGAGACCGGCUUAUUGGUCGUGCUAUUGUACGUACUGGUAUAAUCGGUUUCUCCUUUCUGACGAACUAUAAUGCCAUUAAUUUGGUGUUUUAGGGAAUCAGGACUGUUACUUUGAAAAAAUUAGAGUGUUUAAAGCAGGCUCACGCUUGAAUACAUUAGCAUGGAAUAACGGAAUAGGACGUUUGAUUCUAUUUUGUUGGUUUCUAGGAUCGACGUAAUGACUAAUAGGGAUAGUUGGGGGCAUUGGUAUUCAAUUGUCAGAGGUGAAAUUCUUGGAUUUAUUGAAGACUAACUACUGCGAAAGCAUUUGCCGAGGAUGUUUUCAUUAAUCAAGAACGAAAGUUAGGGGAUCGAAGACGAUCAGAUACCGUCGUAGUCUUAACCAUAAACUAUGCCGACUAGGGAUCGGAUGAUGUUAAUUCUUUAAUGACUCAUUCGGCGCCUUACGGGAAAC
rnacentral:rRNA from 1 species